GUCCCUCCUCUUCUGUUCGAGCCCCUCUCCGUUGAACAUCUCUCCUCCUCUCCACAACAUUCUUCCCCUCUCUAUAACCUCAUCCACAACAGCAAUAAGCAAGGGAAAAGGAGAAAAAUGGAUUGAGGAGGAGAGAGGAUCAAGAUGUGGUGCAUCUUUGGAGUAGACUUGCUCCUCCCCACCUCAAUCCCACUGCCCUAGAUUUUGGGAAUGACCAAGGUGGUAACAUUUUGAAACAUGCCUAGAGCAGUUGUCUCCUUCAUUGGGAGGCAAGUAACGUAGCGGCGGUUGCUACACACUUUAAUUUGCUAUUUAUUCUACCUCGACCUUAAAUUUCAGAAUGACAAUUUGUCAAAUAUGGUUCGCUCCAAUAUAAAUUUAUGAACAUCUUACUGUUGUUAAUACAAA